rnacentral:tRNA from 1 species
UCCUCCGUGGCGCAAUUGGCUAGCGCGUUCGACUGUUAUGCAAACAUGGCAAUAUCGAGAGGUUGGAAGUUCGAGCCUUCCCGGGGGAG